rnacentral:rRNA from 1 species
UACGUAGGGUGCAAGCGUUGUCCGGAAUUAUUGGGCGUAAAGAGCUCGUAGGCGGUCUGUCGCGUCGGCUGUGAAAUCUCGGGGCUCAACCCCGAGCUUGCAGUCGAUACGGGCAGACUGGAGUUCGGUAGGGGAGACUGGAAUUCCUGGUGUAGCGGUGAAAUGCGCAGAUAUCAGGAGGAACACCGGUGGCGAAGGCGGGUCUCUGGGCCGAUACUGACGCUGAGGAGCGAAAGCGUGGGGAGCGAACAGG